UGUAGAUACUUCUAGCUUUCAAACAAACCCAAACUCGAUAGGAUUGACCACUCAGAGGCUGAGAAAAUCAAACGCGUAAUCAGCCCAAUGAGAUUUUACGCGUGUGUCUUGAGUUGUGUGUCAGCGGUACAGGCCAAUCGGCACAGCACUACAGGGCCGUGCAGAGAAACUAUCAGGAAAUGGCAGCUCCGCUCUAGCGGUCUUCCUGCAAACCUUUAUACAGCAGCGGCGGCGUGCUCCCGAAGAAGCCUGAAUGCGUCACAGCUUCUGGAGCAGUUAUUUCCGAGUGGUUCUUUUUUUUGAGGAAGACUGCGUGGAUUGAGUUGAGGGGCUCUAUCUACCUAAACCCCCCCCCCCCAAAGAAGUCAGAGGAUAGGGGUCACUCGUGUGUCUAUCAUUUGAGCCAUUCGGAGAGCAAGUGCUCAUUCACCUGGGCUUCUGUUUGCUAUAGGUGGAUACUUCUCUGCACAGCCUAUAAUUGAGUCAUCAAUGAGCAAGCGGGGAGCCAGAGCAGACGCAGCUAAAUUGUUAAUGACCGUUGGCUGCACAUUGAUCACCGCGGGACUCUGUCUGAGUUGCCUAACACUGAUGAGGUGUUGGACAGUGGUAGAGAUCGUUCCCCAGAUGGCCGUUGAGUCCGUCCUGGAGGAGAGGCUCUUAAAUACCAGCUUGGUUUGGAUGGAGACCACUCGACCGGCACACACAUUUAUCUACUCCAACAUCUCCCUGGAGGAGUCUGAAAAGGCUGGAGAGAUUGCAAUAAUACCUCUAACAAAGCUUUCCAAAAAGCUGGAUGCAGAUUUCGAUCGCUAAUGAGCAAUUCAGAGGCACUUGUAACAGCAGGAGAUUCACACUUGAAAGCAUUGAGGUUGGCAUGAGGUUGGUUUUUCUCUGCAUUGCUCAUCUUGAUUCAUUUCCUUCAUCUGUAUUAUGGACUAAUAUACUUUUAAUAACAGAAAACAAGAGAUGAAUGUAUUAAACAAACUGAACAGGGACAGAAGAGAAAAUAAAAAGAACUUGCUUUCUGAUAAUGUGGCAGACUCGUAUGAUAACCCUUUACCCUUUUAGAGUAAACUCUCUAGUGUGUACAAUGUUUAGCAUUGCUAAUGCAACUCAAGUGUGAUAAAUCCUUCUUUUCUUGUGUUUUGCCUGCGGCCUGAACGCAGGAGGCUCGCAGGCAGGCAAGGACACGAGUCACACAUGAAUUAUGUAUGAAUAAAUAUUUUCAAGCACACUCCUGCAUCCCUGUGCAAGUCUCAGCUUGAUUGAGCUAUAGUAACAAUGUAAUGGGUAUUAAUUUGUCCAUUCCAAACAGUUAGCGUCAGAGCAGGGAGUAUAGUGGAACUGUGAGGAGAGUCCUCAAACAGCUGGGAAUGGGGGUGUUUGUUUUGGUCUCCAAUUUUUACAUUUUGAGAAAAUUAGAAUUAUAAAUUCUUCUGGGGAGAAUAAAAAUGCAGACUAAAUGGAACCUAUAAAAUGCUGGCACUUAUUUCAAAGUGUAUUUGUGAGCUCAGAGGUGCAAAUGGUUCAGUCUAGCCAUGAACAGUGAUUCAUCAUUUAAAUGCAGCUAAUCACACCUGACAAAGCAGUGCUAAUGCUGUUAUUCAUUUCACCAAGAAAACAAAUUUGUAGUGUCUAUAAGAAGAGACUGAAAGCAAAGUAAAAGAAAACGAAAUGGCUGUUGUCAACUGCAAAGAGCACAUUUGGGCUUUUUAACAUACCUGCAAUAUAGAUACCCAUCUUCUUAUUUGGACAUAAUAUGAGCAUUUACAGUAAGGAGCAGUGAGACAUGAAACCAACCAGAAUUUAAAGCAAAUGGAUUAAGCAGUAUCAAGCAGUUCAUGUUUGGAGCAUCAUGGAUUCCACAAGAUGUUGGAAACAUUCCUUUGAGAUUCUGGUCCAUGUUGACAUGAUUGCAUCACACAAUUCCUGCAGAUUUCAGGUAUACAUUCAAGCUGUGAAUCUCCCGUUCUACCACAUCCCAAAGAUAUUCUAUUGGAUUCAGAUCUGGUGACUGGGAAGACCACUGAAGAACACUGAACUGAUUGUCAUAUUCAUGAAACCAGUUUGAAGUGACUUUUGCUUUGUGAUAUGGUGCAUUAUCAUGCUGAAGUAGCCAUUAGAAGAUGGGUAAAUUGUGGCCAUGAAGGGAUGCACAUGGUCAACAACAAUACAAUUCAAGUGAUGAAUGAUUGAUCACUGGAUAUUUUUUCUUUAUUGCACCAUUCUGAGUAAAGUUAUAGAAAUACUCAAAACAGCCCGUCUGGCACCAACAAUCAUGCCAUAGUCAAAAUGACUUAGAUCACAUUUUCCCCAUUCUGAUGGUUGAUGUGAACAUUAACCGGAGCUGCUGGCUUGUAUCUGCAUGAUUUUAUGCAUUACACUGUUGCCACACUAUUGUGGCACACUAUAUUA
ensembl:lncRNA